rnacentral:rRNA from 1 species
UACGUAGGGUGCAAGCGUUGUCCGGAAUUAUUGGGCGUAAGGAGCUCGUAGGCGGUCUGUCGCGUCUGCUGUGAAAACUCGGGGCUUAACCCCGGGCCUGCAGUGGGUACGGGCAGACUAGAGUGCGGUAGGGGAGACUGGAAUUCCUGGUGUAGCGGUGAAAUGCGCAGAUAUCAGGAGGAACACCGGUGGCGAAGGCGGGUCUCUGGGCCGUAACUGACGCUGAGGAGCGAAAGCAUGGGGAGCGAACAGG